rnacentral:lncRNA from 1 species
GGAAGACUUCACCCGGACUCCUACGGGAGCCGGGUUCCGCCCACAAGAAAGACUUCACCCGGACUCCUACGGGAUCUGGGUUCCGCCUACCAGGAAGACUUCAGUCGGACUCCUACGAGAGUCGGGCUCCAUCCACGGCUUCUGCAGCAAGGGUUAAUGGUGGCGAAACCUGGCCAGCUAACAAGAUCAGAUGAAAGAAAAAAGCCCCCUCCCAACGACGUCUAUGCCAGGCAAGUCAAAUGGCAAGAAAGGUUCGGCAGACAGCGAUAUUAGUGCAGCGCACGGACGAGGUAACGCAAAAUGCUCUUUUGAUUCCAUUUCCGAUAUACACACUACAAAGCCAGGAAGGC